rnacentral:rRNA from 1 species
CCUACGGGGAGCAGCAGUGAGGAAUAUUGCACAAUGGGGGAAACCCUGAUGCAGCGAAGCCGCGUGAGUGAUGAAGGCCUUCCUUGUGUAAAGCUCUUUCAGCCGGGGAGAAAAUGACUGUACCUGAGUGCUACGCCCCAGCUACCUACGUAACAGCAGCCGCGGGCAUACGGAGGGGGCAAGCGUUAUCCGGGUUUACUGGGUGUAAAGGGGGCGUAGACGGGAAUACAAGUCUGGAGGGAAAGGCGGGGGCUCAACCCCCGGACUGCUCUGGAAACUGGACGGCUGGAGUGCAGGAGAGGUAAGUGGAAUUCGUAGUGUAGCGGUGAAAUGCGUAGAUAUUAGGAGGAACACCAGUGGCGAAGGCGGCUUACUGGAGUGUAACUGACGUUGAGGCUCGAAAGCGUGGGGAGCAAACAGGAUUAGAUACCCGUGUAGUC